CAGAUAUUUAAAGCAAAUUAGAUCUUAGGCAUAAGGUGUUAAUUAUUCCGUGUGCUCGCACCAAGGUUUUGGUUUACGCUGACAUAGUUCAACGCCGUCAUCACCGUGAGAAAUUUGGAACAUUGUUUGCGGUUCUCACAAGCACAACCCGCCUUUCUCUCAACCAGGAACCGCCGGCCGGAAUGAAGGCAAUAUUCGGUGGAUUGCUAAUCGUGAUCGCUGGAUUCCAGGGAACCGUCGACGGUGAUCCUGAAGCACCACCUGGAUAAUUGGAAGUUAAUGGAGAUGGCUCUUGGAAGCCUUCGCCAGGAAGAUGCGUGGCAGCGCUGAAAAGGCCAAGCGUGGCUUCCAUGACGACGUGGAGCAGUUCUUCAGAGACCUCGCUCUACAGGUUGCUGCGCAGCGAAGAAUGUUCACUUGUACCUCUAGGGGCCAUGCCACUAGCCCCUGAAGGUGCUGCCACUUAUACCUUGCAACAAGCCUUCAUCAGUGUCCAGCGGCGCUUGGGCGCCUUGUUGGUGCCAAAUAAUGACGUACCUCAAGCGCUCAGGCUUGCCGGAAGAGUUGACCGAGAAGGACGCGCAGCAGAGCCAGCGGAAGAAGUAGAAAGAGGCACGUGAGCUCGACUAUACCCCGCGCCGGCUGGUCAUCUCAGUGGCUGUCUCACGCAUCUCGUUUCAUCGUGCAAGUCCGACGGAGAUUGGCGAGAUUAUCGAGAAGAUGAAGCAAGUUUUCGAAAGUCCUGACUUGGAGGGUGAACGCGGAAGCCGCUGCGGAGCGUCAGUCUCUGAGCAACGCGUUCGCGCUGUGCGCCAGAGGCCGCAACCCGUUGUUACUGCAGGAUGUCCUGCCUUUGACACGGGUGGUUCUUCACCAAUUCGAGGAUGGUACAUCUCAUCCCUUGCUUUUUGCUUUUGUAUGGUCACUAACUAGAAAUUCUAAAACAGGUUAAGCUAAU